ACGGGAGGCAGCAGUGGGGAAUAUUGGGCAAUGGAGGCAACUCUGACCCAGCAACGCCGCGUGAGCGAUGAAGGUCUUCGGAUUGUAAAGCUCUGUUUCGAGGGACGAAAAAAAUGACGGUACCUCGGGAGGAAGCCCCGGCUAACUACGUGCCAGCAGCCGCGGUAAUACGUAGGGGGCGAGCGUUGUCCGGAAUGACUGGGCGUAAAGGGUGCGUAGGUGGUGAUACAAGUCAGUAGUGUAAUUCCGAGGCUUAACUUCGGCGCUACUACUGAUACUAUAUUACUUGAGUGCAGGAGGGGCAAAUGGAAUUCCUAGUGUAGCGGUGGAAUGCGUAGAUAUUAGGAGGAACACCAGUGGCGAAGGCGAUUUGCUGGACUGUAACUGACACUGAGUCACGAAAGCGUGGGGAGCAAACAGGAUUAGAUACCCUGGUA
rnacentral:rRNA from 1 species